AUUUAUUGGACAGAGCAGUAAGUAAACCCGUAAAGUUAUGUUAUGUUGAUAUUAUUAAUCUAAGAUUUUAGAUUCCACAUCAGUAGUUAAUAGUCGACCAACGCCAAAUGCAAGGCGUCUAAUUAACACUUAUUGUGAUGAUGGGAAUAAGAUGUUCGACCAUGGUGCUGGGAGCAGCACAGAGCCCAUGGAUGGGUACAAAAACUUGGAGAAAUUAAUUUCAAGAUUGGAUACAAAAACCACGCAAGACA